rnacentral:lncRNA from 1 species
GUUUCUCCACACAUAAAAGAUCUUUUUAAAAAUACGGAGAAGAAUGGCAGCAGAAACACAGACACUAAACUUUGGGCCUGAAUGUCUCUUACAGAUAUGUUUGGACCCCGAAUAUGGAAUUCUCAUGGAAUUUUGAGAUCCAUCACAUUAUAGUGUGGCUUUCCCCCCCUCUUCUUCUUUUCCCCCCAAUGUUGGUGAUUGAAGAUCCUCUCUUCAGUGGCGUGAAUAAUGAUAGUUUAUUUUCCAUUCAUACUUGGAACAAACCCCUUUGGUAAUGUCAAAGGCAGUACCUAAACCAAGAAUUGGAGUAGUAGUAGCAUUCUUUAUGUUUAGGUAGUAGUUUUUAAGAUUUCUGUAAGAGGUCCUUGUUAGAGGAGUCUUGCAAACUACCUGCUCAUACAUACUUCUUUUGAUAUGUAAUUCCUAGACAGUCUUAACCUUCAUAGUUAGCAUUCAGAAGCUGAAGGAGAAAACAAUUGAAGGUCUGAGAACCAACACACUGCCUAUAGUUUGAGUUUAUUUUCAAAUGUUGAUCUAAACAAUGCUGCACCUGUUUCAGUUAUUUUAUAUUUAAAAAAUAAUUUUCUUAUUAUUAAAUCAUUUUGUUUCUAUAAAAAUCAGGAAUUAUAAGUAAGCAAGGAAAAGAUAUAAUUACCUUAGUUUGAUCCUUAGUACACACUGUACAUAUCUUCGUAUACCUUUCCAAGUGGUUUUAUGUAUCUUGUUUGUAUAUAUGUAUAUUUUAUUUUCACAAAACCGGAUCAUAUUGUGCAUUCAAUCUUGUAACCUUUAAAAAACUAAGU